UACGUAGGGGGCAAGCGUUGUCCGGAUUCAUUGGGCGUAAAGAGCGCGCAGGCGGUCGAUCAAGUCGAGUGUGAAAGCCCCCGGCUCAACUGGGGAGGGUCAUUCGAUACUGAUCGACUCGAAGGCAGGAGAGGGUAGUGGAAUUCCCGGUGUAGCGGUGAAAUGCGCAGAUAUCGGGAGGAACACCUAUGGCGAAGGCAGCUCGCUGGGACGUUACUGACGCUGAGACGCGAAAGCGUGGGGAGCAAACAGG
rnacentral:rRNA from 1 species